rnacentral:lncRNA from 1 species
GGAAGAGGAAGUAGACAUCAUCAGAGAGUUUCCAAGGCCCCUCAAUGAGUCACCAGCCGAUUUCUCAACUCAGAGCCUCGUGCUGUGUCACUAGGUUCCCCAUCCUCAGCUUCUGAGAGCUGCAGACAUGGGGUAGCCCUGUGACACUCCCCCACACAUGUCCUCUGUCACCCACGUGUGGGCCCUAGUUUCCUUCCCAGACAGCAACUACAGCCAGACAUGCUGAGGCCUGCAGAAUUUCUCUUCCCACAUGAAUGACUGGGCCACUCUAUGCACAGCACAGCCCUGUGAGUGGACUAGUCAGCUACUUGGCAGAACUUCCUUCACUGUGGACCUGAUGACUCCUCAUAAAGUCUUUGCUACGAGCGUUGCAGAAGAACCCUUGUAUCCUCCCCGUGCUCCAUCAGGUACCAUACAGUCAAUGGUUCUGCUGCUGCUGCUGCUGCUGCUGCUGCUGCUGCUGGACUCUGCUGGCCAGCACCAUGGUGAUGUCUGUCAUUCUUCUCGCUUCCUUCUUUGCAUUCAGUGUUCAGAGACAAGGUUUUUUGGCAGUGUAAAAAUAUCCUCUUCCUCUUCAUACUUCACCCUGAAACACAUCUCUGUUGGCACGGCUUCUGUCCCACUCAGCUCUCUGGUGCAUUUCAUUUGA